CUAGGGCAUUAUGCCUUUGUUAUGUGUAGAUUCCUGUAUACUGGGGGCAGUUGGAGUAUUUGGGCAAAUGUCAUUUAAAUUUUAACAUGAAGAGCAGGAUAUUCUUUAUAAUGCAAGCAAAUUUGUAAUUUUCAGCCAGUAGGAAAUUAAUGUCAUGUUUAUAUUUUACAGGAAUGUGACAAGUGUCAGAGGCGGCAGAAGAAUAGAGCAUUUUGCUAUUUUUGUAAUUCUGUACAGAAGUUACCAAUUUGUGCACAAUGUGGUAA